AUUUAAGUAGUUUAAAUAAAACGUUAGUUUGUGGGGCUAAGGAUAUAUAUAUAAAGAAUAUCUUAGAUU
rnacentral:tRNA from 1 species